ensembl:lncRNA
CAUUCUUCACAGAAUGAGCUGCUAGCACCACGUCCCACGCUCUCCUACUUCCUCUGUCUCGAUUCUUUCUUUCUUUAAAAUUAGAUGUUGACUUGCAAUGGGUUUAGAAGCCAUUUACUUGAAUCCCUUCAUUUUCACAUUAGAAUUUUGAUAUUUUAAGCUUAAUUAUAUCAUUGUAGAAAACAUGGAAAGUACAGACAAAGGUAAGAAUAUAUUGAAAGGCAUAUCUAAAAGCCAUCUCCAGAGAUAAUUAGCAACAGCAGCUCCCCAAGGUCACCAACUGCUGUUUCGGAAGGAGAGAUGACAACCAACCAACAAUCCACUAGCGAUCAGAUCCCAACCACUCCUCCUCCACACCAGCCCUGUGGACUUUUCGGGACAGGAAGACUUGGACUUUCCGAGUGAUUGGAGAAGCACAAGACUGACAACAAACCCGGGUGUGUAGGUCAUGUUAAAACCAUUCUGGGGAAGACAGCUAUGAAGGGUAUGCAAUUAUUCUCCUGAGCUUCCUGCAAAACUCCUUUAUGAAAUUUAAAGAAAAAGAUGUCCAACUUGAUGCCUGCCUUCCUUGAUCCAAGCAGUUUUUUGAUCCCACCAGCUCAGUACUUCUUAGAGAUCAGUACAUUUCUCACCUUGGCAUUUCCAGGGCAUUUGUUUGUGUAUAGCUCCAUCUCUCCUGAUGCAGUAUGAACUUCCUCAAGGCAAAGAUCCAACUCCUACUCCAUCACCCCUGCUCUGCUCGGAGAUAAAGUCCGCAUGUCUGCGAUGUUUCCAACCCCUGUGUUUCCUGCCACAAUAGGCUGUAAAACCAGGCAGAGGAAAACAAAAGGAUGGAAAUAUCCGGGAAUCUAGUCUGGCUACAAGUUAG